rnacentral:rRNA from 1 species
GACGAACGCUGGCGGCGUGCUUAACACAUGCAAGUCGAACGGAAAGGCCCUGCUUUUGUGGGGUGCUCGAGUGGCGAACGGGUGAGUAACACGUGAGUAACCUGCCCUUGACUUUGGGAUAACUUCAGGAAACUGGGGCUAAUACCGGAUAGGAGCUCCUGCUGCAUGGUGGGGGUUGGAAAGUUUCGGCGGUUGGGGAUGGACUCGCGGCUUAUCAGCUUGUUGGUGGGGUAGUGGCUUACCAAGGCUUUGACGGGUAGCCGGCCUGAGAGGGUGACCGGCCACAUUGGGACUGAGAUACGGCCCAGACUCCUACGGGAGGCAGCAGUGGGGAAUAUUGCACAAUGGGCGGAAGCCUGAUGCAGCAACGCCGCGUGCGGGAUGACGGCCUUCGGGUUGUAAACCGCUUUCGCCCGUGACGAAGCGUGAGUGACGGUAAUGGGUAAAGAAGCACCGGCUAACUACGUGCCAGCAGCCGCGGUGAUACGUAGGGUGCGAGCGUUGUCCGGAUUUAUUGGGCGUAAAGGGCUCGUAGGUGGUUGAUCGCGUCGGAAGUGUAAUCUUGGGGCUUAACCCUGAGCGUGCUUUCGAUACGGGUUGACUUGAGGAAGGUAGGGGAGAAAUGGAAUUCCUGGGGGAGCGGUGGAAUGCGCAGAUAUCAGGAGGAACACCAGUGGCGAAGGCGGUUCUCUGGGCCUUUCCUGACGCUGAGGAGCGAAAGCGUGGGGAGCGAACAGGCUUAGAUACCUGGGUAGUCCACGCUGUAAACGGUGGGUACUAGGUGUGGGGUCCAUUCCACGGGUUCCGCGCCGUAGCUAACGCUUUAAGUACCCCGCCUGGGGAGUACGGCCGCAAGGCUAAAACUCAAAGGAAUUGACGGGGCCCCGCACAAGCGGCGGAGCAUGCGGAUUAAUUCGAUGCAACGCGUAGAACCUUACCUGGGUUUGACAUGGAUCGGGAGUGCUCAGAGAUGGGUGUGCCUCUUUUGGGGUCGGUUCACAGGUGGUGCAUGGCUGUCGUCAGCUCGUGUCGUGAGAUGUUGGGUUAAGUCCCGCAACGAGCGCAACCCUUGUUCACUGUUGCCAGCACGUUAUGGUGGGGACUCAGUGGAGACCGCCGGGGUCAACUCGGAGGAAGGUGGGGAUGACGUCAAGUCAUCAUGCCCCUUAUGUCCAGGGCUUCACGCAUGCUACAAUGGCUGGUACAGAGAGUGGCGAGCCUGUGAGGGUGAGCGAAUCUCGGAAAGCCGGUCUCAGUUCGGAUUGGGGUCUGCAACUCGACCUCAUGAAGUCGGAGUCGCUAGUAAUCGCAGAUCAGCAACGCUGCGGUGAAUACGUUCCCGGGGCU